rnacentral:rRNA from 1 species
AUUGAACGCUGGCGGAACGCUUUACACAUGCAAGUCGAACGGUAACGUGGGGAGGAGCUUGCUCCGCCCCGACGACGAGUGGCGAACGGGUGAGUAAUACAUCGGAACGUGUCCGCUCGUGGGGGACAACCAGCCGAAAGGUUGGCUAAUACCGCAUGAGUUCUACGGAAGAAAGAGGGGGACCCGCAAGGGCCUCUCGCGAGCGGAGCGGCCGAUGACUGAUUAGCCUGUUGGUGAGGUAACGGCUCACCAAAGCAACGAUCAGUAGCUGGUCUGAGAGGACGACCAGCCACACUGGGACUGAGACACGGCCCAGACUCCUACGGGAGGCAGCAGUGGGGAAUUUUGGACAAUGGGCGCAAGCCUGAUCCAGCUAUUCCGCGUGUGGGAUGAAGGCCCUCGGGUUGUAAACCACUUUUGUAGAGAACGAAAAGACAUCUUCGAAUAAAGGAUGUUGCUGACGGUACUCUAAGAAUAAGCACCGGCUAACUACGUGCCAGCAGCCGCGGUAAUACGUAGGGUGCGAGCGUUAAUCGGAAUUACUGGGCGUAAAGGGUGCGCAGGCGGUUGAGUAAGACAGAUGUGAAAUCCCCGAGCUUAACUCGGGAAUGGCAUGUGUGACUGCUCGACUAGAGUGUGUCAGAGGGAGGUGGAAUUCCACGUGUAGCAGUGAAAUGCGUAGAUAUGUGGAAGAACACCGAUGGCGAAGGCAGCCUCCUGGGACAUAACUGACGCUCANGCACGAAAGCGUGGGGAGCAAACAGG